rnacentral:rRNA from 1 species
GACAGAGGGGGCAAGCGUUGCUCGGAAUUACUGGGCGUAAAGGGCGCGUAGGCGGGAUGGCAAGUCGGUCGGUGAAAGUCCCCUCGGCUCAACCGAGGAACGUCGAUCGAUACUGCUGUUCUUGAGGAUUGCAGAGGAGACUGGAAUUCCCGGUGUAGCGGUCGAAAUGUGUAGAGAGUCGGGAGGAACACCGGUGGCGAAGGCGGGUCUCUGGGCCGAUACUGACGCUGAGGAGCGAAAGCUAGGAUAGCAAACGGG